rnacentral:rRNA from 1 species
GAUGAACGCUGGCGGCGUGCCUAAUACAUGCCAGUCGAGCGAACAGAUGAGGAGCUUGCUCCUCUGACGUUAGCGGCGGACGAGUGAGUAACACGUGGAUAACCUACCUAUAAGACUGGGAUAACUUCGGGAAACCGGAGCUAAUACCGGAUAAUAUAUUGAACCGCAUGGUUCAAUAGUGAAAGACGGUUUUGCUGUCACUUAUAGAUGGAUCCGCGCCGCAUUAGCUAGUUGGUAAGGUAACGGCUUACCAAGGCGACGAUGCGUAGCCGACCUGAGAGGGUGAUCGGCCACACUGGAACUGAGACACGGUCCAGACUCCUACGGGAGGCAGCAGUAGGGAAUCUUCCGCAAUGGGCGAAAGCCUGACGGAGCAACGCCGCGUGAGUGAUGAAGGUCUUCGGAUCGUAAAACUCUGUUAUUAGGGAAGAACAAAUGUGUAAGUAACUAUGCACGUCUUGACGGUACCUAAUCAGAAAGCCACGGCUAACUACGUG